GUUACAGAUGAAGAAACUGAGGCCAAAGAAGGGAACUGACUUGGCUGAUAUGUCAGUGCACAAAAGAGGCUCAUGAAAGGAAACAGCUGCACUGAUACCAGCAGGAGCUGCUGCAGCUACAGAUUUGAGGCGUGCACCUGCACGGGGUUGGGUGACAAGGGAUUUGUCGGGGAAGAGAGUAUCAUGGAAUAUCAGGACUCUAAAGCCAGGGGGAUGGAUGGCUCUGGGGUGGCAAAUUGGAUACCCCACUGCUCACCUGGAGGUCAUGGGAUCACACCUGACUUGAAUUAGUCAAAAGGAUUCCAGGAUGAGGGUUAGUUGGUCAUUUGUGAAUGAAAUGAUUAGCUGGCUGUAACAGUUCCUAAUAAACAGAUCGUCCAUAUCAA